CGGUGAUGCGGCGGCAUUCCUUGAGAACCACUGGGGUGAGGAAGAGCUCCUUGCGGAUCAUAGUGUCGUUUUUGUAGUUGGAAUUAUUAGCAUAACAGAGCUUACCUUCUGGCUUGAAUUCCAACUCAAAAACUCGUGGCCGAAUUUUCCUUUGUGCCCCACGUAGUAACGGAGGUAAAGUUCUCCGCCGUCCUCGGCCGCCAUUGUUUCCCACAGAUUCUCGACCAAACAGUAGAGUAACGAACUCCUAUCGAAGGGAAAAUGGAUGGGUAUUGCCAAAAUUACAAGUCUUGGGUAUGGGCAUGAUUGAUCCGAGCCACCCAGUUCACAGGACGAUCUGUGGUGAAUCAUGGGUAUGGGCAAGAGUGGGUUCAUUCAUGGCCUCACUCAAAAUUGAAGCCCGUAGAGAAAGAAAGAGAAAUUGGACAAUAAGGAUAAGCCUUAACCCAGCAGCAACUGAGAAUUAUGGUUCUAGACUAGUCUACCUGUUCUUUACUCUGUUUUUCCAUCCAAUUUAUGUCACCAUCUCUUCCAUCAACACCCUCCUCAAUUUGCAUAGGGAACAGAUGUGAGUUCUCCACUGGCUUUCCCCAAAUCAGAGCAUGAAAUUUGAACGAAAUACAUCACCUGGUCUGCAUGCACAAGUACUGCCCAAUAAAAAGCCCUCCUUUUAAGCCAAAACCUGUGGGCAGUUAAAGACUUAAGUCUUGUCGGCUUUGACAUUGGCUAAAGUCCAAACUGAUCCUGAGAUUUGCGCACCAAUUGUAGUAAACAAAUUCAUGUAGUAAAAAUAUACUGUUUUUUAGUAGAAACAUGGAGUAAAGUCCGUCGGAGUGUGGGUUAUGUUGUAUUCAACAAACAAAAAUGACCUGAGACCACCGACUUGCUUGCGGCUCUUCACUCCUAGGCCAAUUUUUUCCAGUUGAAUUAGUAGAGAAGAAACAGAGGG